rnacentral:rRNA from 1 species
GCAAGUCGAACGGUAACAGGAAGCAGCUUGCUGCUUUGCUGACGAGUGGCGGACGGGUGAGUAAUGUCUGGGAAACUGCCUGAUGGAGGGGGAUAACUACUGGAAACGGUAGCUAAUACCGCAUAACGUCGCAAGACCAAAGAGGGGGACCUUCGGGCCUCUUGCCAUCGGAUGUGCCCAGAUGGGAUUAGCUAGUAGGUGGGGUAACGGCUCACCUAGGCGACGAUCCCUAGCUGGUCUGAGAGGAUGACCAGCCACACUGGAACUGAGACACGGUCCAGACUCCUACGGGAGGCAGCAGUGGGGAAUAUUGCACAAUGGGCGCAAGCCUGAUGCAGCCAUGCCGCGUGUAUGAAGAAGGCCUUCGGGUUGUAAAGUACUUUCAGCGGGGAGGAAGGCGUUGAGGUUAAUAACCUUGUCAAUUGACGUUACCCGCAGAAGAAGCACCGGCUAACUCCGUGCCAGCAGCCGCGGUAAUACGGAGGGUGCAAGCGUUAAUCGGAAUUACUGGGCGUAAAGCGCACGCAGGCGGUCUGUCAAGUCGGAUGUGAAAUCCCCGGGCUCAACCUGGGAACUGCAUUCGAAACUGGCAGGCUAGAGUCUUGUAGAGGGGGGUAGAAUUCCAGGUGUAGCGGUGAAAUGCGUAGAGAUCUGGAGGAAUACCGGUGGCGAAGGCGGCCCCCUGGACAAAGACUGACGCUCAGGUGCGAAAGCGUGGGGAGCAAAACAGGAUUAGAUACCCUGGUAGUCCACGCCGUAAACGAUGUCGACUUGGAGGUUGUGCCCUUGAGGCGUGCUUCCGGAGCUAACGCGUUAAGUCGACCGCCUGGGGAGUACGGCCGCAAGGUAAAACUCAAAUGAAUUGACGGGGGCCCGCACAAGCGGUGGAGCAUGUGGGUUUAAUUCGAUGCAACGCGAAGAACCUUACCUACUCUUGACAUC